CGGGAAUUUUGGGCAAUGGGCGAAAGCCUGACCCAGCAACGCCGCGUGAGGGAUGAAGUAUUUCGGUAUGUAAACCUCGAAAGAAUGGGAAGAAUAAAUGACGGUACCAUUUAUAAACUCCGGCUAACUACGUGCCAGCAGCCGCGGUAAUACGUAGGGAGCAAGCGUUGUUCGGAUUUACUGGGCGUAAAGGGCGCGUAGGCGGCGCGGUAAGUCACUUGUGAAAUCUCUGAGCUUAACUCAGAACGGCCAAGUGAUACUGCUGUGCUAGAGUGCGGAAGAGGCAACCGGAAUUCUUGGUGUAGCGGUGAAAUGCGUAGAUAUCAAGAGGAACACCUGAGGCGAAGGCGGGUUGCUGGGCCGACACUGACGCUGAUGUGCGAAAGCCAGGGGAGCAAACG
rnacentral:rRNA from 1 species